rnacentral:rRNA from 1 species
GACGUAGGGCGCGAGCGUUGUCCGGAUUUAUUGGGCGUAAAGAGCUCGUAGGCGGCUUGUCGCGUCGUCCGUGAAAACCUGUGGCUCAACUGCGGGCUUGCGGUCGAUACGGGCAGGCUGGAGUUCGGUAGGGGAGACUGGAAUUCCUGGUGUAGCGGUGAAAUGCGCAGAUAUCAGGAGGAACACCGGUGGCGAAGGCGGGUCUCUGGGCCGAUACUGACGCUGAGGAGCGAAAGCGUGGGGAGCGAACAGG